GGCUCAGUUGGAGGAGUGUGCAACCCGUGAUCUUUUGGGUUGUGAGUUUGAGCCCCACACUGGCAUAGACUUUACCUAAAAAUAAGUAAAAUAAAAAAACAAAAACAAAAAAAAGGAAAGGGUAAGGGAUGAGAAGCUUGGGAGGAAAAACAGUUGUGAAGGCAGAAUAAACACUCUUCCAUGUGAUCCUUAUGGUUAUCACAGUGUGGAGUUGUUGAAGGAACCAGAAAAAGAAAAAAAAAAGAAGGUUGUCCGUCCUUUUGAAUGUAUUUCAUUUAAAAAUAAAAACGGCCUAACGGUAGUCAUUGUUUUUGCAGGUUUUCUUUCUCUCAAAGCACUUUAUUUUCAGUUUUUACCCCGAUUCUAUCAGUAUGAGAAAAGGACCAGCCCCGGCCCCCUGCCCACCUCUCCCCACCGUCAGCACCUGCACCCUGGAACUGUUCUCUGUCUACGCAGCUGGCUUCUGCACCUGGUCCCCAGGUUUCAGCGUGGGCAUUGCUUGCUGGUGGGGUGCCGUGGGACUGGGACCGGCAGGUGCGGUGGAGGCCUCACCAUGGGGCCCCUGCAGAGUGGCCCUGUUUCUCUGCUCACCCGAUUUUCAGGUAUUGGGCAUUUGGAUAGCUACGACUAUGGAAAUAGGAGUUUCUGUGUACAAGGUCUAAUUUACCCCCAAACUCUUUCCCAGCAACACGUAUCUCUUAAAACAUCAGGUAGGUAGGGGUUCAUCUUUUCUUUGGGAGCCCCCUCCUGGUCCCUUGUCCUUCUCCUGCUGGGACGGGCUGCUGCCUGGCACGGGGCCCCCCACUUUCCUCCUGGUCCCCUUCCCCAUCAUCUUGGGCCACCCUUUCCCCCUCCUGCUUUGGAUCCCUGUCUCCUGAAUUCUGCGAUUUUGUCUUUCUCUCAUUUGGGGAAUCUCCUCCAGUAGCUUCCUGAUAAAGAUGGUUGCCGAGCAUAGAAUUCUAGAAUUCCACCCUCGCAAGUCAAAGACGUGGCUCCGCUGGUCAAGGACAGUCUCGUUUCCCAUCCUUUGCCGUUUCUCUGUGACACCGUUUAGAGCCCUGAUCUUCGCCUCCUGUUCUCCGGGAUCGUGACGGUUCUCCUCGGGGAGUCAAAAUGCAUGGCUUUCAUCCACUUUCAACACAUAAAAGAUGUUUUCAACACAGAAAGGCCUUUCACCGCUCUUAAUAGUCAGCUUUUGGAAAGAUGUGGACUAGAAUGAAAAAUGAGGAUGAACACCUCUGAAAUCAGCUGUUUUGAAUUAAAUAAAGCAGAGUGAGGUUGGAGUCAGGUGAAGCGAGAAGAUGGCAUUUAGCCAGUGAGGAUUAAUACGCCGGCUCCUUUAAGCCGAGGGACCGUCUUCUCUGAAAUGUGUGAGGGGUGGACAGGGCUUGUCUGCCCCUCUCCCCCCCACUUCUGCCCCAACAGGGCUGUCGCCCCCUUACCUCGACUUGGCUCGGGAUGACUUCAUCCUUCCCAUGGCUUUGCAUAAUUGCGAGGAGGUGUUCUGGGGGUUUUUUCGCGGGGAUUUUUCCCCCCUUAGCUGUAGUUCCGGGUGCUUUUCGGAGACCCGCUUCACCGGGCUGGCUUAGCAAGUGAGGAUUCCGGGUCCGGGAGCGAGUUGUCUGAAUGUCCGGGGCGGGUGAGCACCUGGAGGCCCUCUCGGCUCCGUGGGCGUCUGCAGGUGUUUUGGGUGGGUCGAGUGCCCCUGUCCCCUUUCUCCACGUGGAGCAUGGUGGCCUGGAUGUCGUGUAUCCAGCGGGACCCCUAGCCAGCUUUGCACGGAGACUAUGGGAACGGGACUAAAGUCACGAAAUGUCCUUGCAGGACCUGUUGACCUGACCUCUGUCUCGGUGGAGCAGUGGGGGUCCCUAGUCUGACCCCGAAGGUGGCAGAGGCGAUCUUCCCUUGCUCGAGGCCAGCUGUUAAUGAACUUCAACACAGAAGGGAGUUCUCUUCUCCAUUCUGGGUGGGGACUAGUAAAAUGCCUUUGGCCAGCUGGUAGAACUAAGUCCUGGGAAAUUCUGGAACCUCCAGCGCAGUCGACUUGGAGUGAACCGUGUGGACAGCAGUGAAUUUGCCCCCCUACGUGUUUUCUCCAGUCAGGCUCGUCCCUCGUGGUGGGCACCUGGUGCUGGUGGUUUUUACAGGAGCCGAGUGCCCCCUUCCUUGGAGCCAGCCUUUGCCUGGGCGUGGUCUUGUCGGCCACUCAGGGCCGUUCCAGAUAGUGCGGCCCUUCAGGGGUCAGGUCAGGCAUCUGUGGCCCCGGGCCAGCAUUUUAACCGAAUGCCCGGAGUGCACAGCCCAGGCCCUCCACUCAGUGCAGUGCUCGGGCCAGAACAGAGUAUUUUGAACACUGGACACUGUGUCUCAGUUGUUACACCCGGGAGCAGGACUCAUUACCAGGGAGCUUGAAUUUAAGAAAAAAAAAAUGCCGUUAUCUAGAUUCCUCAAGGUUACGACAAAGCUGAAGCAGCUUGUUACCAAGCAAAUGGACAGAAGUGUCGCCAGAAGCAUUUCAGUUUCUGUUUUUGGGGUAGUGGUGGCAGGGGUUCCAUCUCAGAGGCUGACUUGGGUUUGCUUCAGUUGGUUUUACUUCCUUCAGGACGCAGGUCUGGUGUUCCUUCCCGCGCGUAAGAGAGCACCCCCUCCCGGCCCCUCCCUGGACUUUUUCUUCUUCAUUGACUUAUCAGUCACGUGAGCCACUAUUUAUAAAGUCUGUCCCCUCCCUCCCCCACUCCCCCCACCAUGUGAACCGAGGCUGCUUAAUGAAGGUACACCUUGGCCCCUAGUAUGGGAAUGGCUUUUUAAUCCCAAGAACGUCUUGCUAUUUAUUCCUGGACCGUGGAAACCAGUACACUGCCCCCUUUUUUUUUUUUUUUUUUUCUUUCUCCCCUUGAAGAAAUCCAGUAACCCUAGGCUUUCUAGAUCCAAAGUGGGUCAGAUGGCUAAUGAUUGAAGAUGGAUUGGCGUCCAGUGUCUUUGGAAACCUAAAGCUGGACUCGGGCUGCAUUCGUGUUUCUCUUCCUCUCGUCAAAGCGCCUCCAAUGGCAGCUGACUUUGCAGUCACUGUGCACUGGGGGUAAGCCAAGCCCCAGCCGCUGGAGACCGGGUGGCCCUGCCUCCACCUGAGCUGGGAGGGAGGCGGGUCUAUGAUUAACUCGGUGAUGUCUUCAAUGUGAUUGCUGGGGGCUGAAAACAUUAACUUUUACAAAAUGAUUUAAAAUUACCAAUUGACCAUAUCCGGGGCUGAACCUGCAUGAUUCAGCUCCUUUUAAAAAUAUCUUUUCUCAACAAAUUGCUUCCUUAACAUUUUAAUUUGUUGAUCAUAAAGGAAGCUUGCCAAAUAUUAGCUGGUCUUUUCCAUUUCCUGCAGCUCCGAGCUUCCCUUAUUUGGCAUAUUUCAGUGGAACUGUAAGGUCACUCCCUAGUUCUCUUCCCAAAGAACUGUAUUUAUUACUGUCAAGUAUUGGCGGGUUUGAUCCAGCUGUCAUCAGAACGUUUGGAAAUAUUGUUUUUUGCCAGAAUGCUGAUUUAAUGAUCUAAUACUGACAUGGCUUGUUUUCUCCGCCGAUUUGAUAACUUACUUGUUCAAUAAACUCCCCUCUUAGUGA